rnacentral:lncRNA from 1 species
CCUGAAUCAGAGACACUGUGUCUGCUCUAGGAACUCGGAUGUUGUUCGCGGGUUGCAGGGAUGGGACUGCAUUUGUUCCGGAAUAUGCGACAUGCUGGAUGUGGCGGCCCCCCACGCUUUGGGAGGGUAUAACGGACUGGUGGGGAUACAGCAACGAGUGAAGGAACGGGUGGGGCAGGAAUCGUCGACUUUCAUCACCAAGUCCUUUCGCGGUGUUGCGGCAACUGCGCAGACGCAGGAGGAGACGGCGGAGGUAAGAGAGGACAAGCGGGCGCGUUUUAAGCGUUCGUGGGAGAGAGUGAGAGUGACGUUUUCUUCAUGCAUACAAGGAGUAGCGCGAGGCCGAUUGGCUCAUCGCAGUGUUUUCAGUUGGUGACACGGUUUCAUUGGUUGUCUGUGACACGCAGCUAUGUGAGCUACUGCGUUGUAAGGACUAGCAGGCAACCGCUCUCAACACUAUUUUAUGCAUCUAUCCCCGCAUAAUUCCACGGGCUAGGAAGCUUCACUUGGCCAUGUUUCUCGCAGCGACCCUUGUGCGCUAAAGUACGUUGUUAAACUGUCGGGAAGUUCUCUCACGUGCUGUUGCUGCGCCAUGCAAACGUGUCUAGGCACAGGCCAAUACUGCCCUGGCCUGCACAUGACAGUGAACAAGACCCCUAUGGCCACCUUCGGGUAUUCCGUGAAAGGCCCCUACCGCUCGGAGCACGUAACAGGAAGUCAUCUUCGACGGCCAAUUCCAUCGUCUGGUGUCCUUGGUUUCGUCGGUGCGUUGAGUCUCGUUGCUGCUAAUUGCCUCUUCCGUCUGUUUUGCUUCGCGGCCUGCGUCUCUGUGGUAAAGCGAAGAGCUGGUGUAGCGAAGCCAUGUUCUUAGAUGAGUGUUACCAUUGAUCGCGCUAUCUUACAUGCGUGUUGCAAUAAGUGAGUUUUCUGGAAUUCUUUGGUGUCGCUUGUUUUCCGUGUACGAGGUUGUUGCUGUCAAUACAAUGAAGCGUCGACAUGGUUUGCGGUUCCCCCUGGACACACGGGCCAGUGUCACAGGCAUCUAUUUUCGCCGCAAUAAGUCCAAUGUAGGACCUGGUGCGUUAUAUUCGUUGGGGAGUAUUCUGGCGGUGAGCGUGGGGGGGUUGUAAGCAUGGCCAGACAGGAGGGGCCUCUGAAGCGUCCACCACGAUGGCUGUGGGACUAUUCACAGGUGCCCGUAUCCAAAUGCGACCGAAUCCGUGAUGCGUUGUGUCAUAUUACGAGGCCUGUGGUCAAGCUAUUUGAUGUCCUGUCUGUUGAGAGGCUUCUCAUAGUGGCGGUUUUUGCGUACGGGAUGUUACUUACGUCUCGUGGUGCGUUUCAUUUUCUCCACUUGCGCUGACUGCGCCUCGUCACCGGUUUUCCACUGGCGCGCCCAGGCGGUAGGCAGCGGUCCAGUGCCGGUGUAUUUAAGCGAUGAGGAGUGAUAAGGUGGAGCAAGGGCGAAUGCCAGAUGGCGGAGCCGGAGUACGUUGAUUGCCACCAAGAAGCGACUUCUGCAGGCUGAGCUCGCAGCCAUUGGUGAGAGGGAUCAGGCCGCCGCUAUGGUUGUGACCAGCGAACACUGUGUAACAAUGAAGGGCACCCUCUCUAGUCUGCUCGCCUUUUACUAAUACCACAUUAGUCACAGCGGUUCUAAGAGCAACCUAUUGCGCCUCACUUGCAGAAAUCGGCAGCCUAGCCACUGGCAGUAAGGAUGACGUUCUAGACUUUCUUACUUGUGCAGGGAUGAAAGAGUCUGCAGCAGUUCCUCUCAUAGCUCCGCUGCAUGAUGGUCAUUGUCUCUCGCCGCAGAAUUGCACAGUGAAACACUGGACCAAUUGUAAACGGUGGACUAGCAGUGUUGGUGUCGGCUCCAGUGCUCACAUUUCAUGAUAGAAGAGGCGGAGGUAGGCGUGCAUUUCUUGGCCAAGAGGAUGUGUACGCUGAUUGGGGCACGGUUGCUGGGGGAAGGGGUGCUCUAGACGCUGUAGAGGGGAAGAGAACCGUAGGAGAUGGCAGGACGCAAUGCGUCGCGUGCUGCUUGAUGGGGUAGCAUCGCGUCUGUUCAGCUGGGCGCAUGUCACGUCUCUCCGCGACUUGCAACCGAUGACGCGCGACGGGUUCCAGUUGUGCCAAUUGUGUUCACGGGCGUGCGUAUGUUUCAGAAGAUUUUAACGGACCCUUGAUAAAAUUCUGAGAAUAAGAGUGAGGGACAUUCUGACUCUCCUCACGUAUACUGAAUGUGAGACUGCUUACCGGCAACGAAUGUGAAUGUUAACACCCGGUAGUACUGCACCUUCAGGUGUUCCGUUCUUCCGUGUUGCACUCUCCUUCCUGCUAACAAUUCCUUCUCUCGUUUUUUGAUCUUUUGACGGUUCGUGUUGAUAUCCGUGUAGAAGUGAAAGAGGCUGACUCGCCUUACGGAUAUUUCUCGUGAUCUGUUUCCUCUUCAUUCUCGUCUGAUGCGAAAAUUUCGUUUUAUCAUACAACAAUUGCCAGUCGCGUCUGGGGGAGCUCCGUUUGGCUAUUGUUGGGCACGCCUCACACCUGCCACGAAAAUUAAAAUGUGUGGUGGGAAUCAGGAAUCUGUAGCUUGCGGUUCCAGUUGGCUCAGGUCAUCCCUCGUCUACCUUCAGCUAGUACCUGUGAUUGUUCCAAAGUCUUUUCUUCUCCAGCCGUUACUCUUGGAUACACCAGCUGUGUGCGCCAUGUGUGGGUGUUCGACGAUGAAUCCAGCUAGGGAGGGGAACACCAGCGGCUAGAAAAUGUAGGAACGCAGAUGAGCCGGAACGGAGCUAAAUCAGAUGCUUGAUGAAGAAAGGGUGUUCUUGGAGAGAAGUCUUCCAACCUUACACCUAAUUCCACAGAGUUCCUGAGUGGAGACCGAUAUCGCGUCCGGUGGGUUUUUGCUUUAAGAACAAACAAGGGCCGGGUGCCCGAAAAGAUUGCUCGCCAAGCUCGCGUAGAAGAGAAGGGUCUGAGUUAUCAUGAAGGUCUGGCAGCAGACAUCAGCGGAACUAGGACAUGUGGGUGAGAGUGCUAUAGGACGACAUCGGAAGACCAGUCAGCCCAUUCGGUGUCUGCGGAAUGUGUUGUCGUUCAUAGCGAGGCGUCACGGUGGUACGGGUCGAAAGGGGCUGGGCACUAUCGUGGUGUGUAGUAUCGCGUGAAAAGAAUUGUUUUGUGCCUUUCGGGAAUUGAGUACCAGACGCACUGCGGCGAAUGUCACUGGGUUGCUGCGCUGGAGAAGACUGCAGCAGCGUGCUUGAGAGGUUUCAAAUUUCUCUAUGAUGCGCCAAUAUAAUGCUAGACGCCGCGUAAAGACCUGAGACUAGGAUUCUCGUACGGAAGCAUAGGUUGAUGGCGUCGUGUUGGACGAAUUCGUGAAAACGCUUUUCAGGAGAUGUAGGAACGGCCGGAUGAGACAAGCAGUAUAUAGAGCGUGUGUCAGGGUAACGUUGCACAGGAUCUGCCGCGUUUAUCUGAUACCGGAUUGCGCGCGUGCACCCGUAUCGAUCGUCGAAUGGAAACAGAGACUCUUUCGAAGAACGAAAAAAUUGGCGGAAAAAGUCCACGUCCAAAUCUAUCCUAAAUGGAAAGACAAGUCUGUUGAAAACCGGAUGGACGGUAAAUGAGACAAAUAUCGUAUCACAAAGCUGGUGAGCAUGGUACAAUGAUAGGUGCAUGUUGUUUGAUGUGGUUGCCUAGAUAAUAGAGUGGACAUUUCUCUCAUGGCAUGUACCAGUUUGUCCCGCAUAAACUGUCGCUUCCGUCCGUCACUCCUGAGGGCUCUUUUUCGAGCUCGUAGGGAGCUAUCUAAAUGGAGCCCUCUAACGUUAUGGUCAGGUACUACCGUGUGUUCUUACGGCUGACAGGUUACAAUGAAAUGGCUGAGGAGAACGGGACAUAACCGUUGAAAAAAGGUUUGCAUCAAAGAAGCGAAAACUGCAAAGCAAAACAUGUUGUGUAUUUGACAGAGUUGGUGCUGGUGCGCGUGGCUCGCGUGUUGAUGACAGUCGACACCGCCCUCUGUCAUAUCUCCGUCCAGGCGAGUUUGUCGGUGAACAUAUGGUGUUUAUGCUGGUCUCGAUCAAAUAUCCUUAGGGGACGUCUGUAGGUGGCAUCCGUGAGUUUCACGAAUGUGUGCCCACCGUUCUCAGGGUGCCCUGGAGAAUACCACUGAUAUGGUGUGCCCACAAAUGAACAGGACAUGUGCACCAAAUGUAGCGCCACAAUGACUAUGAACGGAAUUAGCACUUUUAAUUCCGUCGUUUUGGGCUGCGGUAAUCAUGCAUUCUUUAUGAAAGUGCAUCGGUCACACCAUAUCCCCAGCGUAAAAAAGCUAUACAAAGUCGGUAACUUGUGGUGACCAUAUCCCAACGAUCACUCCCAUUUUCCAGUAAAUGUAGCCUCCCGAUAAAGCUCUGUAUCCUUAAAUACGUGAAAAUCAGAGACGGAUAUCAUGCUAGAAGCUUGAGACCAGCGGGCUGCUGAUUUUGAAUGAGGAUCGCCCUUUUUCAGUUGUAAGAUCUCCGGGCGUCCGGGUGCUUUACGGUUGUCAGUUAAGUGUGAAGGUGCUGCCCAAACUGAAAAGUUUGAACUCCCAUUGACAUGUGUGUUUCCGUGAGGGGAGAAGCGGGAGGAUGUUUUUGCUCCACUUUUUGCCUGACCCUCAUGACAGUAACCACACGUAUUUAUGUGCGUCCACCUAAAGCAAGAAAGGCUUCUUUAUCGCAGAUCUCUUCUGAUUUUGGGCGUGUUUUUUCGCCUUGGCUCAUUUGUCGUCAGGUGCGUGAAGCAACAUCAGAAGGAAAACAACUUCACUUGUAAUUGCGAACUCGGAAGAAAGCGGCAGCCAGACGGAACGCCAUGCUGGACCAGUAGGCCAAGCAGCGGCUGAGACCGAGCGACAUUUUCUGUCUGUCCUGUUGGGUUGCCAUGGACUCGUCUUUGUUACCGACGUCCCAGGCCGGCAUUGGGCGAAACGUUUGAGGACAAUGUGAAAUGAUUCAUCAUGGAAACUAGCAGAAACAGAAGACAGGUGGAUUUUCUCUGCAGUCAGUCGUGAAUGGCAAAGUCAUCAGAACUGGCAUCUUCCAAAACGUGUGACCGAUGUUAUCUUCGUCAACAUUCUAUUUACACAAGUCUACGUAGAGGGAAGAAUGCCGUUUGUUGUGUGUGCAUCGGUGUACAAUAAUAUCUUUCCCGUAUGCUUUUCUAUGUGAAUGGUAAACCCUGUCUCAUUUCUUGCUAUCUGAAGGUUAAAUAAGCACAAAAACUCGCGAUAUCGUGAUGAAGUGUUUUGCGUGAC